GCCUUCGUGGUGUAGUGGUCAGCACGCUCGACGCGUAACCGAGAGGUUUGUGGUUCGAUUCCCGGCGAAGGGG
rnacentral:tRNA from 1 species